rnacentral:rRNA from 1 species
UACGGGGGGGGCAAGCGUUGUUCGGAAUUACUGGGCGUAAAGGGUUUGUAGGUGGCCCGCUAAGUCAGACGUGAAAUCCCUCGGCUUAACCGGGGAACUGCGUCUGAUACUGGAUGGCUUGAGUUCGGGAGAGGGAUGCGGAAUUCCAGGUGUAGCGGUGAAAUGCGCAGAUAUCAGGAGGAACACCGGUGGCGAAGGCGGAUCUCUGGGCCUUACCUGACGCUGAGGCGCGAAAGCUAGGGGAGCGAACAGG